AGCGAACGCUGGCGGCAGGCCUAACACAUGCAAGUCGAACGAACCUUUCGGGGUUAGUGGCGGACGGGUGAGUAACACGUGGGAACGUGCCUUUAGGUUCGGAAUAACUCAGGGAAACGUGUGCUAAUACCGAAUGUGCCCUUCGGGGGAAAGAUUAAUCGCCUUUAGAGCGGCCCGCGUCUGAUUAGCUAGUUGGUUGAGGUAAUGGCUCACCAAGGCGACGGUCAGUAGCUGGUCCGAGAGGAUGAUCAGCCACAUUGGGACUGAGACACGGCCCAAACUCCUACGGGAGGCAGCAGUGGGGAAUCUUGCGCAAUGGGCGAAAGCCUGACGCAGCCAUGCCGCGUGAAUGAUGAAGGUCUUAGGAUUGUAAAAUUCUUUCACCGGGGACGAUAAUGACGGUACCCGGAGAAGAAGCCCCGGCUAACUUCGUG
rnacentral:rRNA from 1 species